CGGGGGGACAUUAAUCGAACCAUACGACUUGGGGCAAUAUGGGUAUCAAAAUUCAUGGUUUUUUAAACUGAUAAUGAAAAUGGCCAUUUUGACCGGAUUGGCCACACCCGGAGUGGCCAGUGCCCUAGGGAAGGUUCUACCGGGGGGGAGAUUAAUCGAACCAUACGACUUGGGGCAAUAUGGGUAUCAAAAUUCAUGGUUUUUGAAACUGAUAAUGAAAAUGGCCAUUUUGACCGGCCUGGCCAUACCCGGAGUGGCCACACCCGGAGUGGCCAGUGCCCUCGGGAAGGUUCUACCGGGGGACAUUAAUCGAACCAUACGACUUGGGCAAUAUGGGUAUCAAAAUUCAUGGUUUUUGAAACUGAUAAUGAAAAUGGGCAUUUUGACUGGAUUGGCCACACCCGGAGUGGCCAGUGGCCUCGGGAAGGUUCUACCGUGGGGACAUUAAUCGAACCAUACGACUUGGGGCAAUAUAGGUAUCAAAAUUCAUGGUUUUUGAAACUGAUAAUGAAAAUGGCCAUUUUGACCGGAUUGGCCACACCCGGAGUGGCAAUUGCCCUCGGGAAGGUUCUACCGGGGGGACAUUAAUCGAACUAUUCGACUUGGGGCAAUAUGGGUACCAAAAUUCAUGGUUUUUGAUACUGGACAUGAAAAUUACCAUUUUGAUUGGACAUUUUCCGAACCAUACUUGUUUUGGCAAUUUAUUUCCACAGAGGUGCCAAAGAUUGAAAACAUUUUAUAGGAAUAAAUUAUUUAGGAUUAAAUACAUAGGCAAUGUUUUAAAAAUAUAAAAUAAAAUAGAAUAUUUUUAAGGAGUUUUGUACAAAGUUCUUUGUCAUAUUGGUCAUGUAGAACAUAACCACCUGCACCUUUUUUUCAUAAAUUUGCUCCUUUCGUUGUCCCGUCACGGAAAGAAAUGGCUGGCAAAAACUCAAAUUUCAACCAAUUCUAUCAGUUCAAGGAGCAAAAGAUUCGUUUUUUAAUUUGUGAUAAUAUGUAGAAGAGCAAAAGUUUUUAAAAAUCAAACUGGCGAAACUGUAGCGAUUUUUGUAGUGUGCCUUUUAAAAGUCCAGUUUUAUGAUGUUGUCCCGUCAUGCUACAUUUUUAUUUCAGGGAAAGUACAGGUACUAUAUUGUUCAUUCUGCAUGAUAUUUCUUUGUAGGAAAUCAAUUAUCUUUCCAAAUAUGUAAUAACAUUGGGGGGUUUCUUCUUUUAUUUUGCCACUAUAGCCAAAACGCUGAAAAAAACUUGGGAUUUUUUUUAAAAGGAGCCGAAGAAUCGGUCAAAUUGAAUUUUGCCUAAGUUACAGCCUUUUUACGAUUUUUGACGUUUUUUAACCUUCAAACUUUGUGUUCAGAUUUGCCCCACUUCCCGUUGACCUAGAGUGCAGAUUGGUGAGGUCCAAACGACGUCCCAUACAAAGGGGUAAGCCCUGUUCGUGGACUCGCUCUUUUUUUUUUUGUCAAAACAUGCUGAAACCGCAUCGAAAUGCGGUUUGCAAACAUCAAUCAAUCAAAGUUUUCCCUUAGUGGGUGCAAAUUACCCGCUAUCCCCCAGGUACAUUUCAGAAAUUAAAUAAAUCUGUUUUCCCAUAGACUUCUAUUUCGUAAUCCCUUUCGAUUUAACAGUGGAAAACCUUAUUCGGAAUGAAGAAAAAAAACUUUUAAAAUGGAUAAAUGUGAUAAGAUUUCUAAAUUAUUCACCCUUGGUACGUCCCUGUUUACUUCUUUUUAAGCAAAUUGCCAACCAUCACUUCUGUUGCAACAACGUUUCAGAUAUGUAGCAAAGAUGUUGAAGCUAAAUAUCCAACACCCCAAUUUGUGUAACGUUGUGGUAACAUAAUGGUAAUAUAAAAUUUGCAAACAUUAAUUUGUCUAUUGAACUGUCAAACGAAAUAAAAGUUCUCAUUUUAUUUCAGCGGUGAGAUCAUAAAUGAUGUUUAUUUUAACGAAUCCGUGGAAUGAAUUGUGUUUAGAAGGUGUGUUUUAAGAAUCAUAAUUUGUGGAUAGCGGAUGUUUCUUGGUGGGUGGUUCUCCUCCCCCUUGCAAAAAAUAAAGGGGUGCGAAACGUCGCGGAGUGGAUACCGUCAGCCCUAGGCUGGUUUCGGCUGUCCCGUACCCCACGGAGGGUGUUGAUUUGGGUGGUCACGAACUGGGGCCACGGCCGGAACCGUGAAAGAGCCUCGACGGGAAAUCCGAUGGGCAAGACUGCCCACCGGCGAGAAGCUUAGUGGCUCCGGGUUGGCGGCUCGUAACACCUUAGUACGCUUGCCGUGUGUGUGUUGCGGAGGUCGUCCUGAUAAUCACACAGACUUGUUUUGACUCAUCCGCGAAAUCCUCCUCGUCAUAAUCAGCAGAAUUAAUAGUGAAUUCGUUAAUUGCUGAUGUGUCUAAUUACAGUGUGGAAAAAAUUAGUUAGAAGUUCAUCUUAAUGCCCCAAUACUUCUGACUGUAAGUCCGUUUGGACAGAUUUUUUGGUAGCUUAUUCCAUUUAUUUAAGCGCUUGCACAAUGUGGACUUCAUUUUUGUGUUUUGAUGGUUGCAACAAAACGACAAACUGCAUAAAAUUGUUUUUUUCACUAAAGAUGUGUUUUGCCAUGGCCUAUGGCAAACGAUGUUCACAACUAGUUUUAUCAAGGAAACUUUGCUGCAACUAAUUUGCAACAUUUGCUCCUCAACAUGAAGUAUGUUUUUGGUUUGUUUCUACAUUGGUACAAUAAUGUCACCGAAACGUUGCAUCAAUACAUAAAAUCAAAUUGUUGCCACAGCAUAUAAUGGAAACUAUUGGAUGAAGAACUAUGUUUCGAUGUAACAUUUUUGCGAAUUGCAACAUUGUUGCUCCCUUGUUGUAACUUAAUUUGGACUUAGACGUUUUCAACAUGUUGCGCGAUGCUGCUUGGGGUCCUCCCGGUAGAACCUUCCCUCAGGGCCAUGGCUACUCCGGGUGUGGCCAAUCCUGCCAAAAUGGCCAUUUUCAUUACCAGUAUCAAAAACCAUGAAUUUUGAUACCCAUAUUGCCUUAAUUUGUAUGGUUCGAUAUAUGUCCCCGGCAGAAUCUUCCCUCAGGGUACUGGCCACUUCGGGUGUGGCCAAUACCCUACCAGUUUGGCCCCAACUCCAUUGCCCCAAAUCAUUCUGGUUUUCGGGUAGCCGUCUCAACAAUCUCCAUUAGAACAGAAUUCCUCCCAAGUUGGUGCACAACCUGUGUCUUUCAAUGUGUGCAUGUGUGUGUGUUUGUGUGUGAGCAAUAAAAUUACCACCGUCGAUCCGUCUCUGACGGAUUUUCAUUCAAAACUAAAAUUGUUCAGAGGAUAUCUGUUAGAUUAUAUAGUUCGCAUGAAAUGUGGCAACAGUGGUACAACAUUCUCGCGUGACAGUUCCAAGAAAGCAGGAGACGAGGCAAAAUUUGCGCCAUGUUGCCGCAUUUCAUGCAAACUAUAUAAGCUAACAGAUAGCCUCUGAACCAUUUUAGUUUUGACUGAAAAUCCGUCAGAGACGGAUCGACGGUGGCAAUUUGCACACAUGGAAAGCCACAGUUUGUGCACCAACUUGGGAGGAAUUCUGUUCUAACAAAAAUUGUUAGAACGGUCACUCGAAAACCAGAGUGAUUUGGGGCAAUGGAGUUGGGACCAAACUGGUAGGAUAUUGGCCACACCCGGAGUGGCCAUUGCCCUGGGGAAGGUUCUCCUUUAUCGAACCAUUUGACUUGAGGCAAUAUGGGUAUCAAAAUUCAUGGUUUUUGAUACUGGACAUGACAUUUUGCAAAUGGCAUCAAAUUCAUAACAUUUUAAUUAUAACAUUAAACUAAGUUAAGUUGCUAUUUCAUUUCAUUUUAUUACAAGAGAUUGAACGCUCGCUAAAUUAAAGCUGACUUAAUGGCCCAGCUCACACAGUUCAUCCUUCAAUGACCAAAGUAUUGGCCGAUCACUUCGUAGCUGGGGAACCACGGAAAUAAGGGGCGCGAGUUGGACAAUGUUGCCGAAAGUUUGCAUGAAGUGGGACACGACCUGCAAGUUGGGCUGCCUUUUCAGGGCCACUGCUUUCGAUGCUCAUUUUCCACCGUCCAUACCGCGCAAUCGUCAAUCCUGAUCGGCGUAUUGGUGCACUCCUGGGACGUUCAGAAAACGAAUUCUCCACCGGUAUCUGCAUCAAUUCCAGGCAGUACAUCAGGCCACGAAUCUCCAGUGGCAGAGAGAUGGAUGUAUCGUUGCUGAAUUCUACUUCCGGUAACGGAGACUAGGGGGAUUGUCGGUGUUAACCGUUUACACGACUAGCGACAUUGGCGAAUCUCCCAGUGGUGGCUCAGGUUUCAGCUCGAGGGCAGCGAAAUCGAGUUGCAUUCGUGUUGGCUCGUUCUCUCCGGCUAACCCCCUAAUAUGUUUAACACCCGGUCGGCGUCCUCUUCAUCUUCAGUUGUUUUGGCCAAGUCGUUGCCAUGCUCGCCAAGCCAAACAUCCAUGUAGUGCAUCUUGUUUUCGUCGCUGACGGGUAGCGAGGUUGAAUUCUAUUUGUUGGGACCGCUCGGGGUAGGAUUCUUGACCUGCGGAAAAUGUGGAACUUCAACUGUUUCUACCGCAGGCGGUGAAUCUGGCCAUUUCGAUUGAAGAAGUGUUAAUCCGGUGACCUCACCAAAGACAAAUGCUUAUUCCUCGGUUUGUAGGAAGCUAGAAAAAUGUUAAAAAAUCUUAGUUAAAAACGAUUGUUUUUGAACAACACCUUCAACCAACCUUCCUCACUAAUAACCGCCUAUAAUCGUCGCCUUUCGUUUCCUCGGCCGGAACAUCCAUUUAAUAAAAGAAGCUUUCUCCAGAAUCCCCGAGCGGCUGGAUCACGCUCCGCACACGGCGGCCGGGUUCCGGAGAGGUCAGGCCCGCUCGAUAAUGGUGUUUGAGCACUGCUGGAUGUCGAACAUGCGCCCGUUGCCCCCGGAGUGGGUGCGACGGAAACGGCCAUCGAUGAUCGCUUGCCAUCCGUUGCUGCCAGUUUGUUUCUCACCUCCGUUUGCUGGGAUAACGGAUUCCGGAACCAGAACGACGCUUGGAAAUUGGCCGGAGAGUGCUCGACGUCCCUACAGCACACUACGGGAGCAACGUGUUUGCGUCCUUGUCCAACUCGGCUUUCGUAGACUGCGUUGGAACAUUUUCCGGACUAAAUGUUUGAAGAACUGGAUCAGCCAUCAGAUGGACCACUAACAGGCAUGUGGCCCGAAUCAACUCCUGGUUUGCGUAAUCCGGAACAGAUUAAUCAAUUUGAUGAACGAGACACAGCAGGCAAAUUUUUAUAUCCUUUUCAGUUGUGGUUGUUGGCGAAGAAGUGUGGAAUUGUAAAUAACUAAGCCUUUUUAAGCGCUUGGAUAAUGACGUAUUGUCUACACUGAGAUACAAUAUUACACAUAUUUCAAUUCAGUUUUACACGCUUGCGAGUCGUGGUGGACCAAGUACGUUCUGAGAGCGAAAUCUAGGGAGCUGUGAAAUGAUAUAUUAGAAAUCACCUUGGAAAUCACCCAUAAAAUCAAUUGUUUCUUUACUUACUGAUUUUCCGGUCAAUUGAUAUAUAACAAGCAAAUGUCCCAAACUGGUUCCCGAGAAAAUUUGUCUGCCAAGGAUUAAGAUUCAGCAUCAACAAAACUACAGAUAGGGACCAUCCAUAAACCACGUGGACACUUUUUUGGGAAUCCUGUUAAAAGGUUAUUUUCAUUACCAGUAUCAAAAACCAUGAAUUUUGAUACCCAUAUUGCCCCAAGUCGUAUGGUUCGAUAAAUGUCCCCGGUAGAACCUUCCCUCAGGGCAAUGGCCACUCCGGGUGUGGCCAAUCCUGCCAAAAUGGCAAUUUUUAUUACCAGUAUCAAAAACCAUGAAUUUUGAUACCCAUAUUGCCCAAAUUUGUAUGGUUCCGUAAAUGUCCUCCCGGUAGAACCUUCCGCAGGGCAAUGGCCACUCCGGGUGUGGCCAAUCCUGCCAAAAUGGCCAUUUUCAUUACCAGUAUCAAAAACCAUGAAUUUUGAUACCCAUAUUGCCCCAAGUCGUAUGGUUCGAUAAAUGUCCCCGGUAGAACCUUCCCUCAGGGCAAUGGCCACUCCGGGUGUGGCCAAUAUCCUACCAGUUUGGUCCCAACUCCAUUGCCCCAAAUCAUUCUGGUUUGCGGGUAGCCGUCCUAACAAUCUUCAUUAGAACAGAAUUCCUCCCAAGUUUGUGCACAACCUGUGUCUUUCAAUGUGUGCAUGUGUGUGUGUUUGUGUGUGAGCAAUAAAAUUACCACCGUCGAUCCGUCUCUGACGGAUUUUCAGUCAAAACUAAAUUGUUCAGAGGCUAUCUGUUAGCUUAUAUAGUUCGCAUGAAAUGCGGCAACAU